AGCAGCCGCGGUAAUUCCAGCUCCAAUAGCGUAUAUUAAAGUUGUUGCAGUUAAAAAGCUCGUAGUUGAAUUUCGGGAUCAAUAUGUUGGUCGUGCCUUGGUACGUACUGGCAUUAUCGAUUCCUACCUUCUGAAGAACCUCGAUGUCAUUAAUUUGGUGUCUUGGGGAAUCAGGACUGUUACUUUGAAAAAAUUAGAGUGUUUAAAGCAGGCUCGCGCUUGAAUACAUUAGCAUGGAAUAAUGAAAUAGGACGUUUGAUUCUAUUUUGUUGGUUUCUAGGAUCGACGUAAUGAUUAAUAGGGAUAGUUGGGGGCAUUAGUAUUCAAUUGUCAGAGGUGAAAUUCUUGGAUUUAUUGAAGACUAACUACUGCGAAAGCAUUUGCCAAGGAUGUUUUCAUUAAUCAAGAACGAAAGUUAGGGGAUCGAAGACGAUCAGAUACCGUCGUAGUCUUAACCAUAAACUAUGCCGACUAGGGAUCGGAUGAUGUUAAUUUUUAAUGACUCAUUCGG
rnacentral:rRNA from 1 species